rnacentral:rRNA from 11 species
ACAGACAACCAGGAGGUUGGCUUAGAAGCAGCCACCCUUGAAAGAGUGCGUAAUAGCUCACUGGUCGAGUGGUUCUGCGCCGACAAUGUAGUGGGGCUCAAGCACACCGCCGAAGCCGCGGCAAACAUUUUUUGUUUGGGUAGGGGAGCGUCGUGCAUGUGUUGAAGCGUUACCGUAAGGCGGCGUGGAGUGUGUGCGAGUGAGAAUGCAGGCAUGAGUAGCGAAUUGGAAGGUGAGAAUCCUUCCCGCCGGAUGACUAAGGGUUCCUGGGUCAAGUUCGUCUUCCCAGGGUGAGUCGGGACCUAAGGCGAGGCCGACAGGCGUAGUCGAUGGACAACGGGUUGAUAUUCCCGUACCGGCGAAGAACCGCCCAAGACAAUCCAGUAGUGCUAAGUAUCUGAAUCCCUUUGAUGGAUCCCUUCGGGGUGAAGCGUUGGGCCUAGCGUACGACCCCGUGCUGGUGCGUUUAGCGUAUUAACAGGUGUGACGCAGGAAGGUAGCCGAGCCGGGCGAUGGUUGUCCCGGUCUAAGGAUGUAGGGCGAACGAUAGGCAAAUCCGUCGUUCACAUAGCCUGAGAUCUGAUGGGUAGACGCAAGUCGAAAUCGGUGAUCCUAUGCUGCCAAGAAAAGCAUCGACGCGAGGUUCUAGCUGCCCGUACCCCAAACCGACUCAGGUGGUCAGGUAGAGAAUACUAAGGAGAUCGAGAGAAUCGUGGUUAAGGAACUCGGCAAAAUGCCCCCGUAACUUCGGGAGAAGGGGGGCCUGAGGCGUGAACGGACUUGCUCCGGGAGCGUUCGAUGGCCGCAGAGACCAGUGGGAAGCGACUGUUUACUAAAAACACAGGUCCAUGCGAAGUCGCAAGACGAUGUAUACGGACUGACGCCUGCCCGGUGCUGGAAGGUUAAGAGGAACGGUUAGCCGCAAGGCGAAGCUGAGAAUUUAAGCCCCAGUAAACGGCGGUGGUAACUAUAACCAUCCUAAGGUAGCGAAAUUCCUUGUCGGGUAAGUUCCGACCU